rnacentral:rRNA from 1 species
UACAGAGGUGGCAAGCGUUGUUCGGAAUUACUGGGCGUAAAGGGCGCGUAGGCGGCCCGUCAAGUCCCGUGUGAAAGCCCCCGGCUCAACCGGGGAACGGCGCGGGAAACUAGCAGGCUUGAGUUCGGGAGAGGGAAGCGGAAUUCCGGGUGUAGCGGUGGAAUGCGCAGAUAUCAGGAGGAACACCGGUGGCGAAGGCGGGUCUCUGGGCAGUAACUGACGCUGAGGAGCGAAAGCGUGGGGAGCGAACAGG